rnacentral:rRNA from 1 species
UGGGGAAUAUUGCACAAUGGGCGAAAGCCUGAUGCAGCAACGCCGCGUGAGUGAUGAAGGCCUUCGGGUUGUAAAGCUCUGUCUUUUGGGACGAUAGUGACGGUACCAAAGGAGGAAGCCACGGCUAACUACGUGCCAGCAGCCGCGGUAAUACGUAGGUGGCAAGCGUUGUCCGGAUUUACUGGGCGUAAAGGAUGCGUAGGCGGAUUUUUAAGUGAGAUGUGAAAUACCCGGGCUUAACUUGGGUGCUGCAUUUCAAACUGGGAAUCUAGAGUGCGGGAGAGGAGAAUGGAAUUCCUAGUGUAGCGGUGAAAUGCGUAGAGAUUAGGAAGAACACCAGUGGCGAAGGCGAUUCUCUGGACGUAACUGACGCUGAGGCAUGAAAGCGUGGGUAGCAAACAGGAUUAGAUACCCUGGUAGUCCACGCCGUAAACGAUGAGUACUAGGUGUAGGAGGUAUCGACCCCUUCUGUGCCGCAGUUAACACAAUAAGUACUCCGCCUGGGAAGUACGAUCGCAAGAUU